UUGAAUUCGUCUUCGUCUUCGUCUUCGUCCCCACCCACCACCACCACCACCAUCACCAUCACCACCUUCGCCAUUGCCUUUUCACUUCCUCAACAAAUUUUUCUUCUCCUAAACCCUAGAAUUGAAGAUUCUUCUCUUUCUCCUUUUCCCCUUUGCGUCUCAUUCAAGCCUUUUCCAACAACAUCACUUCCCUUUCUCUUUCAUUUCUUUUCUUUUCUUUCCACACUGAAUUUUAUGCCACACUCUCUCCUUCUCUUUCCACGUCCUCCGGCGACGCCAUUCUACUCCUUCCUCAUUUGGAUCUGCGGACACUAUGACUUCCGCACUGCCGCCCUCUUAUACUACUAGUCAUCCUCCUGGACUAGGACCUUCUACCGGUGAACCGGAGAAUUUUGGAGAUCAAGCUAUGGAGUUUCUUAAAGCGGCUGGAGAGAUGGCUCUGGAGUUUGGGAAAGGGUGUAGGGAUAUUGUGGUGCAGAGUUUUGGUGAUAAUGAAUCCUAUCUUGUGAAGACGUUUGGGAAGGGAUCGUUCAUUGGGAAAAGAGUGAGAGGACCUUGUGAGAAGGUUUUUGGUAAAUUGCGAUUCUUCAAUGAGUAUUUGCCUGAGGAUAAGGAUCCGUUUCAUGUUUGGAUGGUUAUACUGUCCGUUUCGGUUUUGGUUUUAGCAGUUUUAAGUCUAAGUGCUGAACGGGAUGAUAUUACCAUCUCACCGAUUAAGAAGAUUUACAUUCAUCCUCCGAGCGCCAGGCGAGUUAUGCUUCCAGAUGGUAGAUUCUUGGCUUACAAGGAGCAAGGUGUAUCGGCAGAAACAGCUAGAUUUUCAUUGAUCGGUCCUCAUACUUUCCUAUCUUCUCGGCUUGCAGGAAUGCCUGGGCUUAAGUCUUCGUUGUUGGAAGAGUUUGGGAUUCGCUUGUUGACGUAUGAUCUCCCGGGGUUUGGUGAGAGUGAUCCUCAUCCUCAAAGAAACCUUGAAUCUUCAGCAAUGGACAUGUCUUUUUUAGCGAAUGCUUUAGGUGUCAACGACAGAUUCUGGGUAAUAGGGUAUUCCACAGGGAGCAUGCAUGCUUGGGCAGCUCUUAGGUAUAUUCCUCAUAAACUUGCAGGUGCAGCUAUGUUUGCUCCAAUGGUUAAUCCCUAUGAUCCAAGUAUGACGAAGGAUGAAAGACAUUGGACGUGGCAGAAAUGGAGUAGAAAAAGGAAACUUCUGUACUUCUUAGCUCGAAGAUUUCCUACUGUUCUUCCUCUGUUUUACCGUCGUAGCUUCCUGUCUGGGAAGCAUGAUCAAAUUGAUAAGUGGUUGGCAUUAUCACUAGGAAAAAGGGAUAGAGCUUUAGUUGAGGAUCCAAUCUAUGAAGAGUUCUGGCAAAGGGACGUAGAAGAAUCAAUCAGGCAAGGUAUUGCAAAACCUUUUGUGGAGGAAGCUACAUUACUUGUAUCAGAUUGGGGUUUCAGGCUUCACGAUCUCAGAUUACAGAAACUUCGAGUAAAAUCCGUGAUUCAUUGGCUCAAGUCUUUGAUAGGUGACGUCCAAGAGGAAUUCACUGGCUUCCUUGGUCCAAUACAUAUAUGGCAGGGGAUGGAUGAUAUGGUGGUUCCACCAUCAAUGACCGAUUUCGUUCAUCGGAUUUUACCAGGAGCUGCAGUCCAUAAGCUCCCAUAUGAAGGCCAUUAUACAUAUAUCUACUUCUGUGAUGAAUGCCAUAGACAGAUAUUUACUACCCUCUUCGGAUCCCCAGAAGGUCAACUAAACAUUUCCCGUUCCGUGGAUCAAUCUUCCUUGGAUCGUGACACAGAAGAUCUCAAAGUUCAAACCAUCAAUGAUUCUGCCACAGAGUAAAAGAUAGGUGUUGUAGCUCACUAUAGAUAAUGUACAUACCACACGAUUGUUCUGUUGCUCCUCAACCAGUCUCUGUUGAUGAUAAUUGAUCAUUUUGAAGAUGGAAAGGAGCUCAUGGCAAAUUUAUUGAAAAAGAAACAGACCCAGAACGAUGGCCUACAAUAGAGAUGUUGUUCAUAUCCCAUCAAUAAGAGAUGAAGCAACAUAAAGUGGAGGCUAGGAAAUCAUCUGAAAGCCCUUCGAGACCUGAGUACAAGCUCAUCUUCUACUCGUUUGUGGAAUGAAAAUCAACGGGUAAGAUGGCCCUUGCCUCGCCCUCGAGAACAAGCUCGUCUCCAUUCCUCAAGCACUUUGUUUUGAAUUUAGCCCUGAAACACAUUUGGCAGUACCCAAACUCAAUGAAAUGAUAACUUGAAAUUUGAAUUUGAGAAGGUAGAGAUUUGCCCCCCAAGAACAAGCUUACAGGUAUCUCUUCUUAUUUUCUCUCAACUCGAUUGCUUCUACCUGACCAACAAUCUUCUCUCCGACGUAAACCGGCAACUUAAAGUUUAAACUUUGCGACACAUAGAUGGCUCCAGGCUACAAUCAUCCUCAACAUUAUAAAUCAGAGCAUCUUCAAAGAUUAGACCAUCACCAUACAUUAAAAGAUAAGCAUUAAAUCAGUUGUAAGAACGUUUCAGGUGCCAUUUCUCAGUUCCCCCAAAGUUCUAUAAGUGUUAGAAACGCAAACGGGGUAGACUUACAUAAUGAGAAGAAAUGAUAUGAGGGAACAUCGAAGCGACAAGCAAACCGUGAACAAGACAACCGUUGAAUCCAGCACGUUGAGCUAAUUUGGAAUCGAAAUGCAGAGGAUUAGAGUCAUGACUCACUUUGGAGUAUUCCAAAACAUCUUCACUAGUGAAUAUUCUGUUAUAGCUCAAGAUAUCUCCAACUUUGAGCACACUAGAAGUUGAUGAAGAGAAGCAUUUCAAAGAAGAAGAAAUAUAUGUUGAGAAUAAACCUUUACUUAGCAUACUUGUCAAUAAAGGACUUUUAAGUAUUUGCUACAAA